rnacentral:rRNA from 1 species
UACGUAGGGGGCAAGCGUUGUCCGGAAUCAUUGGGCGUAAAGAGCGUGUAGGCGGCCCGAUAAGUCUGCUGUGAAAGUCCAGGGCUCAACCCUGGAAUGCCGGUGGAUACUGUCGGGCUAGAGUUCGGAAGAGGCGAGUGGAAUUCCUGGUGUAGCGGUGAAAUGCGCAGAUAUCAGGAGGAACACCAAUGCGAAGGCAGCUCGCUGGGACGUUACUGACGCUGAGACGCGAAAGCGUGGGGAGCAAACAGG